rnacentral:rRNA from 1 species
GAUGACCAGCCACACUGGAACUGAGACACGGUCCAGACUCCUACGGGAGGCAGCAGUGGGGAAUAUUGCACAAUGGGCGCAAGCCUGAUGCAGCCAUGCCGCGUGUAUGAAGAAGGCCUUCGGGUUGUAAAGUACUUUCAGCGGGGAGGAAGGCGAUAAGGUUAAUAACCUUGUCGAUUGACGUUACCCGCAGAAGAAGCACCGGCUAACUCCGUGCCAGCAGCCGCGGUAAUACGGAGGGUGCAAGCGUUAAUCGGAAUUACUGGGCGUAAAGCGCACGCAGGCGG